CUUGCAGCUUUAAUUUUUUUUUGCUAUCGACAGUACUCACAUACGUAUAGCGAUCAAGAUUAACGUAAAAAUUGCCCGGAGUUCUCCUUUAAUGCCUUUGGCAGGUGUUUUAAUUUCUGUCUGCGGAAAGAUUUUGUCACAGUGAUAGCAUCACAACCAAGCAAGAUUCAGUCAUGAAACUUUACAGGUGUGUAGUUGAGAUCAAAAUGAAGGCCAAGUUUGAAGAUGUGUGUGAUCCGGGCAAGGGUGCAGCGAGAAGGGGUUCGGAAAUAAGAAGUCGGGAUAAAAGAGUUUCUGAGUCUAUUGGACCUGCAUCUGGGCAUGGAGUACCUACGGCCUGAUAGAAGUAGCUUAAACUGGCAAGACAAGGGGUGGCUAGGGUCAGCUGCAAUGGAUUGGGCCUUCUUUGCCACUCUGUUGGAGUAGAUCCCAGUGUAAGUGCAA